rnacentral:rRNA from 1 species
UGGGGAAUCUUGCACAAUGGGGGCAACCCUGAUGCAGCGACGCCGCGUGAGCGAUGAAGGUUUUCGAAUCGUAAAGCUCUGUCCUAUGGGAAGAUAAUGACGGUACCAUAGGAGGAAGCCCCGGCUAACUACGUGCCAGCAGCCGCGGUAAUACGUAGGGGGCGAGCGUUGUCCGGAAUUACUGGGCGUAAAGGGUUCGCAGGCGGCAUGGCAAGUCCGAUGUAAAAGGCGAAGGCUCAACCUUCGUAAGCAUCGGAAACUGUCAAGCUUGAGUGAAGGAGAGGCAAGUGGAAUUCCUAGUGUAGCGGUGGGAUGCGUAGAUAUUAGGAGGAAUACCGGUGGCGAAGGCGACUUGCUGGACUUCAACUGACGCUGAGGAACGAAAGCGUGGGUAGCAAACAGG